rnacentral:misc_RNA from 1 species
GAUGAAGAACGCAGCGAGGUGCGAAAUGUGGCGCGAUACGCACAAUCUGUGAGACGUCUAAUCUUUGAACGCAGCAUGCGUCUGUCCGUACUGGCCAGACGUGUCUGUUUGGGUGUUUUGGUUUUAAACGGUUGCAGGGAAUUCGGAUGUGGGAUUGGGAUGUGGGAUUUGGGAUUUUGUCUGCAAAUCAAAGCACAGUUUGAUCUGAUCUGCAUGCAUUUCUCCAUUCACAACGCUUCCGCAUAUCUUGUCGCAAAACGACGUGUGUGCAGUGCCAGAGGUACUGUCAAUCGCAUGGCCAGCAGUGCAGUGUAGAUUUCACAUGCGUGGCUCGACUCAGACAUAACCCCAAAUCAGAUAGGACUACCCGCUGAACUUAAGCAUAUCAAUAAGCGGAGGA